rnacentral:rRNA from 1 species
AGUGAACGCUGGCGGUAGGCCUAACACAUGCAAGUCAAACGGCAGCACAGUAAGAGCUUGCUCUUACGGGUGGCGAGUGGCGGACGGGUGAGGAAUACAUCGGAAUCUACUUUUUCGUGGGGGAUAACGUAGGGAAACUUACGCUAAUACCGCAUACGACCUACGGGUGAAAGCAGGGGAUCUUCAGACCUUGCGCGAUUGAAUGAGCCGAUGUCGGAUUAGCUAGUUGGCGGGGUAAAGGCCCACCAAGGCGACGAUCCGUAGCUGGUCUGAGAGGAUGAUCAGCCACACUGGAACUGAGACACGGUCCAGACUCCUACGGGAGGCAGCAGUGGGGAAUAUUGGACAAUGGGCGCAAGCCUGAUCCAGCCAUACCGCGUGGGUGAAGAAGGCCUUCGGGUUGUAAAGCCCUUUUGUUGGGAAAGAAAAGCAGCAGGUUAAUACCCCGCUGUUCUGACGGUACCCAAAGAAUAAGCACCGGCUAACUUCGUG